ensembl:snoRNA
GGGGUGUGCUCAGAGCAGGGCGCCUGAAAUGGCUUCUCUGUUUACAACACACCCAAUGGGAAUUUAGGGACAUGGUGACAAGGGACACAAAACGCGUGACUUCUCUGUGAGCAAAUGUGCUGCACAU